rfam:Canis lupus familiaris chromosome 29, whole genome shotgun sequence.
GUGCCCACCUCUGAAGCAUGUAUACUAAAAUUGGAACAAUACAGAGAUUAGCAAGGCCCCUGUGCAAGGAUGGCAUGCAAAUUCAUGAAGCAUUUUAUAUUUUG